rnacentral:tRNA from 1 species
AUUCAAUUAGUUUAAAAUAAAACGUUAAAUUGUGGAUUUAAAAAUAUAAUUAUAUAUUGAAUC